ensembl:antisense Gm15935 predicted gene 15935
AGACCUGAGCUGCGGGGACAGGAGCAGUGGCCUAACAUCUCUCCCUGGUGUCUCUGCUAUUGAAAACACUUGUCCUGAAGAUGGGGACCACCUGAAGAGAUGCCUAGGGAACAGACUCCCCUUAAAAUUUGACAAGGAUAUAUUCUGGGACCUAGGGAGCACAGACCAAGUGGGGCUAGCGUUCUCACAGAAGGACAUCGAGGUGUCUGGGAAAGAGACUUUGGCAGGUCCAGCUGUAUUCGAGCUUGGAGAUUCAGACUCAAGCUCCCAUACUUGUGUGGCAAGCGCCGUAUCUGCU